rnacentral:lncRNA from 1 species
GGUGGUUAAUAUAAAGUUAUACGAGUCAGCCAACGUUUCCGAUGAUCUUUGUCAAGGUGAGUGUGUUACCCUGUCUUACGAUCCAUGACAGAUACACCGUCUGCCAGGCUAUAUACUCGAACGUACGAGCUGUAGACCAGACGGGGUGGAGGCCUGUUCCACACUUUAUAUACGGAUUUAAACGUUACUCCUGUUUGAUUUUCGGCUAUUAUCAAUGCUCGAGAUGGUUUAGAAAUAUUGGGAAGAUCGUGUAAUGGAGAAGAGUUAUGGCGUCGAUCCCUAUUAUGGAGAAGUCCCGCGUUAACCUAUUGAAAGUAGCGUGUAUCGUGGUUCCUCAUCACUUUCGAAUUGUUACGCAUUGAUACCAUUGUUAAUGUCUAACCACGCGUGUUUUGCAUAGAUUACAUAGGUGUCUGCAAGUUAUCGGGAACCGAAGGAUUAAUAACUUGCGAUGUACCAACGUGUGGUACGGUAUCCGAGAAAUUUAAACAGCUAACAUCAUUAAACGAUAUUUUGGCAGAAUGGUAGUUUAGAGAAUAGUCUACAGUGCAAAAUGUGUUGACUGACCUCCUAUUUUUCUUCUUUAUUUUUUAAUCGUUCGAGUUAUUCUCUCCUCUACCUACGUUUCGUACGUUAAGAGAGUAUUUAUAACAGGGCACCGGUCGAAGAGAUAAAACUCUCUUCUGGUAUUUGCGGGGUGCCGAAUGUUUUGCAGUCUUGCCAUUUUGGGGUGUUGUAGCUCACGGUUACCUUCAGCAGCCGACAAACAACAGUUUAAAUGUGGAAAUCAUCACAACGAUCACGUGGUAUGUGACAUUUCGGUCUGCCAGACUGUUACGCAGUGGAACGUCGCGUCAGAUACGGGAGAUGGAUUUCUGUACGCCAGAGACCUUUGGUAUGCGAUAUCCAAGGCUGGGGGGGCUAAGAGGAACGGAGAUUAAUAGAAUGAAUGGCCCGAAACAAGUCGGAACUAUAGUUCAGGUAUAUCUUGUGGCGAUAAGGCUCCCUUCACUAUUCGCGCGUGGAGAGAGAGGGACCAUCGAUUACUGGCGAUAAUUUCUGAGACGUAGUUGUGUAGCCGACAUUUCCGAUAGAACUUGACUAUACCCACAACGACGCCGGCAGAACAUCGUAAAUUAUAAAAUUUGCAAACUUUCGACACCGUACGAGAAUUUGGGUCACCGGCGUAUAGGUCCAAAACUCGAAAAUCUCGCGAAUUUUUAAAACUCGGUUCGUAAUUUAAACUCCCGCAUAACUUUGACCGAGUCUUCCACUAUCAAACGACCCAAAAAUCAUAAAAUGUAUAAAUUAUCAUCUGGAAAAGUGUUCGAAAAACCGAAAUAUUCGAAAUUUUUAAACUUUCGGAUCGAGAGAAAUUUUUUGGCGCCAUUUCUUACGCGAGUAAAAUGACACCAUUCCUAAGGAAAAUUUUAAUAUUUUUAUAUAUAUAUGCGUGUUAAACUAGAAGUGAAGGGUUGAAAAAUGUCACGUUUAACUCACGAAUAGUGAAAGUAACCUCGCUCUGUUAGACCGGACUUGUAUGUGACUAGGUCGUCGGUACAGAGUCAGUUUUUUUUAUAUACUGUACACCGUUCGCGAAACUGGUUCCUUAAAAUCCUGGGACGGUAGCAAGCAGAGUGGUUUUGCGGUCGGGCCAAUGAGAGAACGCCACAAUCUAUUAGGUGAUCCAGGCGCACUUUUUUUUUGUCUAGACUUGUACCUCCCUAGUUAGCGAUGCAAGAGUUGACCCGGAGGCGAUUAUCAAAACUCACUCUGAUACGUUCCCCAUUUGCGUAUUCACGUACACAAUGCGAUAAAGUUCUGUAACAUUUUGACAACUCGAACGUGUUUUUUUUUUCUUUCUUUCUUUCUGUUUAGUGCUUACGUCUGCAUAUAAUGCCGUAACACUACACAAACCGGAACUGUGUACAGCGCAACGUACUUGUGGAUGGGGUUAACGUUUAUCACAUUCGCCAUUUUUCGGAUAAAAUAUUCCUGGGACGAUCUGAAAUAUUUGACACUGAAGUGUUAUCUGGUUAAAACUUUCGAAAUGUGUUCCUGGACUAACUUAAAAAAUAUUUAAUGCAAAAUGUUCUUGCUCUCUUCUAAACGAUUUAGACUGAAUUGUUCCUUUCUAUUCGAAAAUUAUUUGUAUCUAAAUAUUCCUGGGUGGUUGCAGCAUAUUGAAUCUAACUAUUCCUGGGCUGUAAAAUAUUUGAAUCUAAGUAUUCCUGGGUGGUUGCAAAAUAAUUGAAUCUAAAUAUUCCUGGAUUGUAAAAUAUUCAAAUCCAAGUAUUCCUGGGUGGUUGCAAAAUAAUUGAAUCUAAGUAUUCCUGGGUUGUAAAAUAUUCAAAUCCAAGUAUUCCUGGGUGGUUACAAAAUAUUUGAAUCUAACUAUUCCUGGGUUGUUGCAAAAUGUUUGAAUCUAACUAUUCCUGGGUGGUUGCAAAAUAUUUGGACCUAAGUAUUCCUGGUUGUUGUAAAAUAUUUGAAUCCAAGUAUUCCUGGGUUGUAAAAUA